AGAACCCAGUGCCUCAUACAUGCCAGGCAAGCGCACUCACUUGAGCCACAUCCCCAGCCCCAUUUUAAUUUAUAUUUUUGAGAUAGGAUCUCACUAAGUUGCUGAGGCUGGCCUUGAACUUGCAAUUCUCCUGCCUCAGCUUCCUGAGUCAAUGGGAUUACAGGUAUACACCACUGUGCCUGGCAAAACAAACUUUAAGGAGGUUAAUUUCACACUUCACACUUCCAAUUCCAAUGGUAAAAAGAAUUACCUAAGCAGAGCAUCUUGAGAUUUUUUUUUUUCUUGAACCUUUUGGGUCAUUGAUCCAUCCUUGAACCAAUCACUAUGGACAUGGUAGGCCUAAAUCAGAAGUCACCAAUCAUACAUAACAGAGGGUCUAAGAGUAAGGGCAGAAAGGAAUUCAAUAGUCCGCUGGAACUUCAUUGCCUGAUUAACACAGUCUAGUGGACUGAAUGCAUGUUCCAUAGACUCUGUGAGUUAAAUUGCAGACUGAGUAUCUGAAAGCACUACAAGUCAGCUACAUGGGUGUACAAAGGCUUAAGUUUAUUUGAUAUGAUCAUGCAGGCAAAAAGAUAAUGUUACAUCCUUGGCACUUACACAAGACAUGGAAAAUCUGUGUUGCAUAAAGGGCUCUAUGUAAGAUUUCUUUUGGAAAAAGGUUUCUGUUAAAGAAUGUCUAGGAACCAGCAGGUCUAAAUGGGAAAAGGUAGGGACUCUCUGUUAUGCCAAAGCUUCCUUUUAAGUAGGAAAAAACAUGCAGUUCCCUAACUCAGGGGGAAAGUACAAGCCUUACAGGGACCGUGGAGCACAUCUCAGAACAACUCUCAAGACAAAUGCACUUGGAAGCUUCUGAGCUCAAACGGAUGUUCAGGAAAAUUCUUCUAGGGGUGAGGUUAGCUCAGAAGUAGAGCACUUGACUACUGUGUGUAAGGCCCUGGGUUGGAUCCUCAGCACUAGGAGGAGAAAGAGGAUGAGGUGAAGAAGGAGCAGGAAAGGAGACUCUUUUGAACUAUUGUUAACAGACAGAAACAGCUCCAGAAAUUGCGGCAAUACAGGCCUUGACAUCAGGAGAAAGAAAUCCC
rnacentral:lncRNA from 1 species